rnacentral:tRNA from 1 species
GCGGGAGUAGCUCAGUGGUAGAGCGUCACGUUGCCAACGUGAAUGUCGCGGGUUCAAAUCCCGUCUCCCGCU